rnacentral:rRNA from 1 species
GACGAACGCUGGCGGCGUGCUUAACACAUGCAAGUCGAACGGGGCUCAUCGCUUCGGUGGUGGGUCUAGUGGCGAACGGGUGAGUAACACGUUGGCAACCUGCCCCCGGCUCUGGGAUAACUCCCAAAAAUUGGGGCUAAUACCGGAUGUGACCUCUGGCCGCAUGGUCUGGUCGUGGAGAGGGUUUCCGGCUGGGGAUCGGCCCGGGGCCUAUCAGCUUUUUGGUGGGGUAGUGGCCUACCAAGGCGACGACGGGUAGCCGGCCUGAGAGGGUGACCGGCCACACUGGGACUGAGACACGGCCCAGACUCCUACGGGAGGCAGCAGUGGGGAAUAUUGCGCAAUGGGCGGAAGCCUGACGCAGCGACGCCGCGUGGGGGAUGACGGCCUUCGGGUUGUAAACCUCUUUCAGCAGGGACGAAGCCGCGAGGUGACGGUACCUGCAGAAGAAGCACCGGCCAACUACGUGCCAGCAGCCGCAGUAA